AAUUUUGGACAAUGGGGGCAACCCUGAUCCAGCCAUCCCGCGUGUUCGAUGAAGGCCUUCGGGUUGUAAAGCACUUUUGGCAGGGAAGAAAAGGUUCUGGCUAAUAUCUGGAACUGCUGACGGUACCUGCAGAAUAAGCACCGGCUAACUACGUGCCAUCAGCCGCGGUAAUACGUAGGGUGCAAUCUUUAACCGGAAUUACUGGGCGUAAAGCGUGCGCAGGCGGUUCGGCAAGAAGGAUGUGAGAUCCCGGGGCUUAACCUCGGAACUGCAUUCUUAACUGCCGGGCUAGAGUAUGUCAGAGGGGGGUAGAAUUCCACGUGUAGCAGUGAAAUGCGUAGAGAUGUGGAGGAAUACCGAUGGCGAAGGCAGCCCCCUGGGAUGAUACUGACGCUCAUGCACGAAAGCGUGGGGAGCAAACAG
rnacentral:rRNA from 1 species